rnacentral:rRNA from 1 species
AGGAUGAACGCUGGCGGUCUGCUUAACACAUGCAAGUCGAACGGGCGUAGCAAUACGUUAGUGGCGGACGGGUGAGUAACGCGUGAGAAUCUACCUUCAGGACGGAGACAACAGUUGGAAACGACUGCUAACCCCGAUGUACUGAAAAGGCAAAUAUUUAUAGCCUGAAGAAGAGCUCGCGUCCGAUUAGCUAGUUGGAGAGGUAAAAGCUCACCAAGGCGACGAUCGGUAGCUGGUCUGAGAGGACGAUCAGCCACACUGGGACUGAGACACGGCCCAGACUCCUACGGGAGGCAGCAGUGGGAAUUUCCGCAAUGGGCGAAAGCCUGACGGAGCAAGACCGCGUGGGGGAAGAAGGCUCUUGGGUUGUAAACCCCUUUUCUCUGGGAAGAAAGUUGUGAAAGCAGCCUGACGGUACCAGAGGAAUCAGCAUCGGCUAACUCCGUGCCAGCAGCCGC